AUCUUAUUUCUAUUAGCAAAAUUUACAAAAACAUGAAAUGCAUUGUAACCUUCUUUAAUGAUUCUGUUCUUGUGUAGGAUCAGAGCAUGGGACAGGUGAGUCAUAGGGAUUGUACCUACUCUUUAUCCCAACACUCGAUGUUGUUUCUUCUAAAUUGCUCCAUAGUCAAUUGGGUUAUCCAAGUCUCUUGAAAUUGUCAAAGAUGGUCCCAAGUUUAUCUAGUUUAUCUUCGU
rnacentral:misc_RNA from 1 species